GUAGAGACGCGGCGUACGGCUCAGUAACAUGUGGCUAACCUACCCUUAGGACGGGGACAACCCCGGGAAACUGGGGCUAAUACUCGAUAGGUGAGGAGGCCUGGAAUGGUUCCUAGUCGAAAAGGCGUUGAAACCAUGCUUUUCGGCGUCGCCUAAGGAUGGGGCCGCGCCCGAUCAGGUUGUUGGUGGGGUAACGGCUCACCAAGCCUAUAACCGGUACGGGCCGUGAGAGCGGGAGCCCGGAGAUGGGCACUGAGACAAGGGCCCAGGCCCUACGGGGCGCAGCAGUCGCGAAAACUCCGCAAUGCGCGAAAGCGUGACGGGGCUACCCCGACUGCCGUCCGCUGAGGAUGGCUUUUCCCCGGUGUAAUGAGCCGGGGGAAUAAGGAGAGGGCAAGUCUGGUGUCAGCCGCCGCGGUAAUACCAGCUCUCCGAGUGGUAGGGAUGAUUAUUGGGCUUAAAGCGUCCGUAG
rnacentral:rRNA from 1 species